UACAGAGGUCUCAAGCGUUGUUCGGAUUCAUUGGGCGUAAAGGGUGCGUAGGCGGCGCGGUAAGUCGGGUGUGAAAUCUUGGAGCUUAACUCCGAAACUGCAUUCGAUACUGCCGUGCUUGAGGACUGGAGAGGAGACUGGAAUUUACGGUGUAGCGGUGAAAUGCGUAGAUAUCGUAAGGAAGACCAGUGGCGAAGGCGAGUCCCUGGACAUCUCCUGACACUGAGGCACGAAAGCUAGGGGAGCAAACAGG
rnacentral:rRNA from 1 species